UACGAAGGGGGCUAGCGUUGCUCGGAAUCACUGGGCGUAAAGCGUACGUAGGCGGAUUGCUAAGUCAGGGGUGAAAUCCCAGAGCUCAACUCUGGAACUGCCUUUGACACUGGGUGUCUUGAGUAUGGAAGAGGUGAGUGGAAUUCCGAGUGUAGAGGUGAAAUUCGUUGAUAUUCGGAGGAACCCCAGUGGCGAAGGCGGCUCACUGGUCCAUUACUGACGCUGAGGUGCGAAAGCGUGGGGAGCGAACAGG
rnacentral:rRNA from 1 species